rnacentral:rRNA from 1 species
CAAAGCGAACGCGGCGAACUGAAACAUCUAAGUAGCUGCAGGAAAAGAAAUCAACCGAGAUUCCCAAAGUAGUGGCGAGCGAAAUGGGAUGAGCCUGUACGUUUUAGCAUGACGCAUAACAGAAUCCUCUGGAAAUAGGAGCCAUAGCGGGUGAUAGCCCCGUAUGUGAAAUGCGAUGUGUGGAACUAAGCGUACGACAAGUAGGGCGGGACACGAGA